CAUGCUCAUCCCUGACCAAUCAGGGUGGUUGGGGAAAUACAGGCAUUCUGAUUGGCCAGGCCUGAGUCACAUGAUACCCGGAGUGGCGUCAGCUCUGUUUGAAGCCUGUGGACUGAAAGAGAAGAGUAGGGACAGCUAAGGGAAAACUGGCUGCUGUUAGCACUGAAAACAAUGAACAGGUGCCGGGCUGCUGGGUCACUAUGCGACCACCCGUGGGUUGUGGCACUCUGUCCUUCCAGGAGAUGGAAAGGGGAACCACAGCGUCUUUUCUGCGUGGUGGGCACAGGGACUGGCUCACCAGCCACUCUAGGGGUGGGGAGAGAGGGGGUCUGGCAUCUGAGGCUGUCAUUUUGCCAUUUGCAGGCUGGUUAAAAACACAUUUUCUUUUGUUCCAGAUUCCGAAUCUGAGCCAAGCAGCAAGUAAUUUGCCCUUCUGUCCUCCGCAUCUCUAUUCUUCAAGCUGUUUUCCUGCCCUUCUCAAAAACCGACUCUCCAGCCAUUCUGGAAAGACUUCGGGCUGGCCACCGGCAAGUUCGAGCUGGAAUUCAGUAUUGGAGGGUGACCCUUGGCUGCUUACCUCCCUACUCGGAGCCGGUUUCUCCAUCUAUCACCACCCGCUCAAGGACAAAAAAGAUGUUCUCACAGGAAGGGAGCGCCAUGCGUCUGGAACAGACCUGGGCCCUCAUUACCCAGCAGGUGCUGCAGGUAGGGGCACGGGGUGGCCAGCGAGGGGUGGACAGCAUCUCUGCUCGAGGCGGUGGCUCUCACUUUCCGUCUCUCUCUCCUCUUGCCUCCUCACAGACUUCCUGCUGACUGGUUUUUUUUUUUUUUCGUACUUGUUAGCUUCACAGUCUGUCCUGCCAACCUCCCUGUCCUGUUGGAUUGUGGAAUUUUCUCUCACCCCUUGCCCCCAUUCCCCCAGAGUUGGGGGAGGGGUGGCAGCAAGUUCCCAGCUGAGUACCAGCUUUCACCAUCUUGUGGUUGGGUCGAUAUUAUCUUCUUAUUUUUCCAGCCAUCUCCCCUCCUUGGGAGGCAAGGUUGCCACGGGUAAUUGGCCUCAAAUUUGUUUACCUCAGUUCUCAAACACUCCCUCCCACCUCCCGCACCCCUCCUCCUCCCCCUCUCCUCCCCCCGCCCUCGCCACUCCCCCUGUCUCCUCCAUCCCACCAGUGACUCCUGAAGCCAUCUGGAAUCUCAGCUCCCCUCCCGCCUCACUUGUGAGCCAGAGAAGGCCAGUUUGAGCACCGUGUGGGAGGCCCAAGCUUGCUUCGAACACGGGCAACUGGAUUCAGGAAACAGCUCGUCAGCAACAAAGGAAAAACACAAAUAAUGAGCUGUGGAGACCUGAGGCCAGGAAUUGGCAAAUAUAGAUGAAAGCAAGUCCCUGAUGAUAAAUUCGAAUGAUUUUUGUUCUUGUUCAGAACCACAGACUAAUUUUGAAAUAUCAGUCAUUAGGAGAGAAAGGGUUCAAGAGGGGGCGGGAGCUGAGUCCACGUCUACGGGAGGUGGAGAACUUCGUGGCCUGGGAGGCUCUGGGCGCUCCCAUGUGCAACGCCCCACUUCCCCAGCUAAGUUACCUCGAGGAUCCUCUGUGAGGCAGGCAGAAAGCAUCAUCCUUUGUUGUUGUUUCUAACAAAGAAAGAAACUGAGGCCGAGAGAGAGGAUUGGUUCUGUCUGGGAUGGGCUUGAGCUCCCGUUUGGGUCUUUCUGCUGAACUAGGCGGGCCUCCCCCCAUGGGGAGACAGAGAUUUCCUUAGCUUACAGAAGACUUCAGGUCAGAUUUGUGACAAAUCCUCUCUGAGACCCAGGGUGACAGCCAAGAUAAUUAAUAACCCCAAAGACCAGGCAUUGAUGCUUCAGAGCUGUGGCCAGAGCAGGUCCAGAGGGUCCCGGAGGCCCAAGGAGGCCAGAGCAGCCAGGACAGAGGAGGCAGGGGCCUCAGGGAGCCUGAGGCAGAAGCCACACGCCAUCUGGGGUGGAAGCAAGCGGCUCACACCACCAGGUGUCCCAGCGGACCCUCAGCGCUGCUCCAGCCAGCACCCGAUGUGGACCCGGCACGUAGUUCUUCCAUAGAACCCAAGCCUGUCCUCACUCUCACCAGCCCGGGAGGUGGGAAGGAGUGUGACUUGGGCUCUAGGUCAUUCAGCUUGCUGCCCUCUCUAUUUCUGUAUCUGUGAGUUGGGGACAGUUCUUGAAACAGUUGCUCUAGAACUUUGGGCAGAGCAGACAAGCUUGUCCAGCACUUGACCUAGAGCCUGGCCCGAGGCUACUGCUUCUCAGUUCCAAAUACCCCAGCUCGGGUCUUGUGAGAAAUGUGACCCCCAGGCAGUAAGAUGAGUUAUAUAGUACCAUGUAGACACGUGUCUAUACUUCUGGACAGAGCAAGGUGGCUGCAUCCACAACUGCCCUCCUCACCACAGGCCCCUCUCUAGAAACAGCCUUGGGACCACACAGAACACAGCAUUCUUUCCUGGGGUCAUGACAGCAAAGAUGGAACUUCCUGGCUCAUUCACCUGCUGGGCCCACCUCGUGCCACCUUGGCUGGAACAGGGCAUGGCGGCAAAAGGGCCAGAGGUUGCCUUCCUCACAGAGACCUCAGGGGUCCUUGGGGCAGCACACUGUCUCCUGAGGGGCCCCUCUCCCUUGAGCCCAGCCCAAGGGAGACAGCCCUGUCCCUUGAUGCCAGGUUGCCCCUUUGUCCCUGGGCGUGUCCCUGUUGAUGGAGCCCACGUCACCCAGGUGGACUUGGGGUCGGGUCAGGCACUGGAAUGAGGGAGAAGGAUUGGAUCAAGAGCCUUCCCUUCCCUUCCUCUGGCCAACUCCCCCAGCAUCUCACAGGAAGCUAGCUACACACCUGACUUUCAGAUCCAUCAGCUGACAGCAGCAAGGCUGCCCUGGCAUCAAUCAGGCCUCCUAGUCUCACUUUGGAGAGGAUGCGGGGGUGGGGGUAGGGACCAGGCAAGGGAGAGGGGAGGAGAUGGUAGCUUUGCAGGGAUCGUCGCAGUGGUGGUUCCUCCAGUCUCUGGCCAGGACACGCUCCCAUCAAAGGGUGGAGGUCCCUGUGCUGCCUGCAUCAGCUACCUGGGGGUGCUUGUUGAACAUGCAGGUUCCAGGGCUCCACCUCAGUCCUGCCGAGCGAGAAUCACUGGGGCAGUGCUAUCAAACUGACCUUUCAAGCGACCGCUCCAGAGAUGGUCUUCAUUCAAAAUAUUUGAGAGUCACCCACUAGCCUAGACUGAAAUGCCAUGCUUCUGGGUUCAGGACCCCCUCUUAACUCCCUCCUCCCCACCCUAGACUGCCUGGGUUUGAGCCCCGUCUUUGCCACUUACAAGCCGUGGGGAUUUGGCCAAGCAGUUCACACCCCUGCUCCAGUUGCCCCAUCUGUGAAAUGGCAGCGAAGCAGAACCCACCUUCUCUUCAGCCUCCCCAAGCCCUGCUUCCAAAGGGAUGGACGGCAUCUUGCCUUGUGGCUUCCCGAGAGCAACUCAGAUGGGCGCCAUCACAGAUGAGAGCCUGUCCCUGGCUUGUCCCUAUCCACAGGUCCUGGGGGUGGGAUGUGUCAGGAGUGGGAAUGGUUCUGAGCCAGACACACACGAACCUUCCAGUCCCCUUGUCGGCACUUCUGGCUGUGUGAUCCCGGGCAAGUCCAUUCUCAGUGCGGGCUCAGAGCUCUCCCAGACAGGCAAGCCACUGUUUGCACACAGUAAGGAUGUAGGUGAUCAGCUUACAAAUAAAUCAAUGAAACUAAGUGACUGAAAAUACCGAUAACCUUUGUGAAGGCAAGAAAAAGGGGGUGCUGAUAAAGAGGGACAGUCUGGAAGCCCAGCAUUUGUGUGGAGACCUGAAUCCCAAGUUACUGGCCUGGUAUAAAUGGUGGCUGAGCCUUCCAGGCAGAGAGCACGGCAAUUGCAAAGGCCAGAGGGCAGGAAUGGGCAUGGCGAGGCAAGGCAACAAAGAUGGCUGAUGGGGCAGGAGCAUCUGAGGGAGGGGCAGUGGGGGAGGGGUUAGAGAGGGCUGCAGCAGGCAGACCUUGCAGGGUCCACGAGUUCAUUCCAAGUGCUGUGGGAACCUCACUCCUGCCAGGAGGCGUGAAUGGGGUAAGGGCAGCUCCAGCCAGCACAGUGCUAGAGGGGUGCUCUCUGUGCCCGUACUCUGUGACAGCCCAUAUGGCAGCUUGUGGCCUCAGAUCCUAUAAGGGAGUUAAAACUGUUCCCAAGUCCGGGCCCUGGGAGCCCGUUAGAAGACAUCAGGAUGUGUAUGUUUGGAUCACUGGCUUCUCCCUGCUUUCCUGCCAUGGACUGACAGUAGAGAAUAUCCCUCCUCUCCUCUGUUUUCUCAAACCUUACAUCCAGCCAGAGCUUUUAAGAGCAGCUUUUUUCAGAGAUCCUUGAAUCCAUGUGGUACCCCGGGGAAGAACAGAGCCUGGUCAUUUUGGGGUUCUGGCCUCGGUACGGCUUGGUGUCUGUGCUGGUGAAAGCCUGGUCGCCCCUCCUUGUAGGAUAGAUGGACUGGCCAUCUGCCUGAGGGGUGUGCCAACCCCCCUCUGGGGGCCUGGCUCUGGGGACGGGAGUGGGCUGCGGGGAGAAGGAGCAGGAAGGAAGGAGGCAGAGGCAGCACGGGGAGGGAGGGCGACU
ensembl:lincRNA